GCGUACACACCAUUCUUGAAGAGGCCCCGCCCCUCUUUGUAAAAGCUUAAUUGACCGAAGCGGAGAGUCUAACUUGUUUUUCGGGUCUGAAUUCGGAAGUGGGGAGGGGGUCACCGCCUCCCUGGCUCCCAGCCACGUUCCUUAGAGGCAGGAGAGAAGGACGCCAUCCCCUUCCAGGGCGUGCAGGAGAACCCCGAAGGAACUAACGGAUCUUCUCCGGAUCUUCGCGACUCCUACCAGUUCCUUUUCUCUCGGUCCAGGGGACAGGAACCCCAGCUCGAAGCUUCUGAAAGAGAGGGUACACCCGACGAGGUAGCCUCGUGUGCUUGCCCCGCUGAAAGGCACCGCAGUAGCUCCCACGCUCUUGAGUCCAGUCGACUGGGCACCCCUGAAUUAUCUGCAAUUGUGGGUGCGAUGGUACCUGCAGCGCAGGGUCGUGGAAGGAGCACGUGGGUCUCUGCGUGAAAGUACCCGGGGGUAGCAUGCUUGUUGUGAAAGUACCCGGGGGUAGCGUGCUUGUUAACGGGGUUCUGCUGAGUGUUUAAUAUCGGUAGCCAAAGUUAAGUUGGGAAGACCCGAACCCUUGCUAUGGAAGGAAAUACAUAUAUGGAGAAGCAGGUCCGGAGCUCACAUCUUAUUCAUCUCCGGCAGGAUAUUGGAUGAGAAAACGGAGGCUCACGACAUGCUAGAUGUAGGUUCUAGGGAGUGGAACUGUUCGUCCUGUCACACCGUUCUGAUGUCUCACUAAAGAAAGGUGAACCAGAAAGAAAGAAAAACGGAACAAGAAUAAGAAGGAAGAACACAGAGGAAGAGAGGAACUGGGGGGAAAUAUACCUCCUAAAGUUGUUGAAGCCAUCGCUCGCUGGUGCCCAUGCCAUUGUUCACUAAGGUGAAUAAAAUUUAUAUGGAAGCAUUUGUUGUGGACUCUCCUACA